rnacentral:snRNA from 1 species
AUUUGCGCUUGGGGCAAUGACGCAGCUCAUGAGGUUAUACCGAGGCGCGUCAAUUGCUGGUUGAAAACUAUUUCCAAACCCCCUCUGCGGCCCGCAAGGGCCCCAGAGAAUUUCUGGAAGGGCUCCCUCUAACCAGGGUAAAGCCCACUU